GUAGGAGCUUAGGCUCCCAA
rnacentral:snRNA from 1 species